rnacentral:lncRNA from 1 species
GAAGAACGACUGAAACGUUAACUCGGGACGGAGUUGAUGAAGGGUACUAUUUUACGUGGGGCUUAGAGACUGUGAAUUGCUAAGGGUACUAUACUCAUCUGGUUUGACGGCGUGAUCUGCCGGUUCUAAAGACUGGCCCUAUUAUAAAUGCAGCUGCCCACUGCAUUACUGUCAGACGCCAGUUGUUUUUUCUUUUUCUGAAAGAAAAAAAUCACUGGGAAAAACUAUCAAAUUCACUAGGUUGAGCUUGGUAAAAAUAUUAGAACAUAUAUAUCUUAUUAUUAUUUUGAGCAUUUGGGAUGAUGAAAGAUGAAUGUGGAUUUUGUCUUUUGGGGGAGUGAUGAAGACAGGGGAUGGGCUUUGGGGGUCAAUUGCUGGGCCCAGAUUAAAGGCUGUGAAUGUCCUUUCCUGAAGAAACACCUUUUUCUCCUCUGACUCCUUUUUGGCAGUGAGCUAAAAUCCACUCUUUUUGUUCUUUUCUCCGAUCGGGACCGUCCACAAAAUAGGGGACCAUUGUCGAUUGCCUCUGCACUAACUUCUCCUUUUGCUUCCUUCCCUAUCCCUUAU